UACGUAGGGCGCGAGCGUUGUCCGGAUUAUUGGGCGUAAAGAGCUCGUAGGCGGCUUGUCGCGUCGAAUGUGAAAACUCGGGGCUCAACUCCGAGCUUGCAUUCGAUACGGGCAGGGCUAGAGUUCGGUAGGGGAGACUGGAAUUCCUGGUGUAGCGGUGAAAUGCGCAGAUAUCAGGAGGAACGACCGGUGGCGAAGGCGGGUCUCUGGGCCGAUACUGACGCUGAGGAGCGAAAGCGUGGGGAGCAAACAGG
rnacentral:rRNA from 1 species